rnacentral:lncRNA from 1 species
CUGAGAGUGGGCUGCCAGGUAUGCAAAUGCCCUUGAACCACCCCUACGCCUACAGAUAACCCCUCAUCCAUGCACCUGCCUCCCUAUGGCCAUGAUGCCCUGCAUGCAGCUGCCGGCUAAGGAGAGCGCCCUCUUCAAGCUGAUGCUGGGGUCCUGUUCUCAGUUCAGUGGUUUACUGGACACAGACGCUUCUAUUGGACCUGUUCCUUCUGGCCUAUCCUCAGAUGGUUCCACAGACCCUGGACAACAAGGAAACAGCCAACUCUUAAGACUGGACAGACAUCCCAUACCCAUUUUUCUAGGUUCCCUAGAGACACAUCGCCCCAAAGCAAGCAGGAAGUAGUCAGAGAUCACAACGACCCUAUUCCUGCUCCACUAUUGCCUUUCUAAUUUUUCUUUUUUAAUUAAACCAAUAUGGGGGAA